CGGUUGCUUGCGAGUAGAUAUUAAAGCCUCAUUUCAUACACCACGACCAAAACGAUUAUCAGGAAGGAUAAGUUUUAUUUCCUUCUUCUUGUCCGUCUCUAACCGUUUUCUCGUGAGCAGCCUAUUCUAUUUU
rnacentral:ncRNA from 1 species